GGACAGCCGACACCGCCCAGAAGCCGCGCAGCUCCGGCCCCGAGCCGGAGCGUGGCUCGAGCAUCGCUGUAAGAGCCCGCGGCCGCCCCCUCCCGAGCUCUUAGCCGUCCCCUAAAGUUUAUUUUUAGCCCCCGGAAAGCGCUAUAAAGGUCCCGCGGAGCGAGCGGGCCGGGAGACGUGGCACCGCGCUGCCUGCAGGUACGUACCGGCGUCCCGCUCCGCUGCAUGCCCACCUGUGCCGGCCCAUCUGCCUUAGAGCUGUAGGUUGUUUCUGUUCGUCCAUAGAUUGUAAUGAAUUCCAUCAAAGCUUUUUUUUUUUUUCUUUUUUUUUUCAUCUUUUACGGCAGCAUUUCCAUGUUUCUGCUACGAACCGCAGGGCUGCCUUGUUUGCAGCACAAUCUCUCUCUAGAAGGAGGAGAGCUCUGAGAGUUUAUUAAAACAAACAGAACCGUGGAGCUGAUCCACGCUGGAGUAAUCCUAUGGAAAUAGGCUUUAAUUAAAACAGCCGGAAUCAAAACUUCACUGCAUGCCAGCACGCUGUGGAGCCAAAUGGCCCCGAGCACCCAGCUCCGGGGAGAGCGUCACUUUGGCUGCGUGCAAAAGAAACUUCUUCAAGGAGAAAUGUUAAGGAAAGUUGGUGAUUACCAUUAGAAACGAAGCUCGGGAAUUUGCAGCAUUCCCACUGAUUGUUUGUUGGGAAUAAUAAUUAAAAAAAAAAAAAUCAAAAGUUCUAAAGGGGGGGAAUUCUUUACUCACAGGACGGUGAGGCCCUGGCACAGCUGCCCAGAGAAGCUGUGGUGCCCCAUCCCUGGAGGCGCUCAAAGCCAGGUUGGAUGCGGCCCUGGGCAGCUGAGCUGGUGGGGGGCAGCCCUGCCCAUGGCACGGGAUUGGAGCUGGGAGGGCUUUGAGGUCCCUUCCAACCCAAACUGUUCUGUGAUUCCACGAUUCAAACUUUUUUUCCACUGCACUCACAUAACCCUGUGAGUCAAGGCCGCUGCCUUAGUUGUAACACUGCUUCUCUGUAAGAUGCCAAUGUAAAAUGUGUUUACGGAGCAUCACUUACCUAUGAAAUUUUGCUAUGUCAAGAAAAUGCUUCUAUAGAAAAUAUAAGAAUCCAUUUAUAGAAAAUAUAAGAAUCCACUUAUCCACAAAAUGCUAUCAAAGCAACUAUGGACAUAGGAUGAACUGUAUACGUUGCCCAUUAACUUGUUUGGCGUGGUGCUGUGCUAAGAUGUGCCUGUGCACAUCAGAAGGUCUCCCGUUCUGUCUCCAUCCAUUGCAACAACAGCUUUAGUCUUUUCCUUUUUACAUAGGAGAUGUACGUGGUUUUCAAUUGCUCAAAAAGAAAUCAAUGUUUUAAGAAUGAAAGAUGAGCACUCGGUAUGAGAAGCCCACUGCCAGUGGGGAAAAAAAAUGUAUAUCUGAAUUUUUGCACCCAGAGCGAUGAAUAUUUUGGGCCCUAACAAUUUAACAUUGGAAAAAAAUGGGUACAUACUUAAAAAAAUAUAUUUUUUGGAAGAUUGUUAUGGCUGUUGUGUGAUAGGUGGAUAAUGUUGUAGUACAGUAUGUUCUAAGAAAAACAUCUAUUGAAAUCAUACUUGAUAUCUCCGGAGGUUUUAAGCCACAUCCCUUAUAACCAUUUUCAGGAAAGAACAGUGAUGAUGUCAGAGAUUCAUUUGAUUUUGCUUUGAGAAACUCAUGGGCAAAGAACUAAAAAGGUGUAUAAAAACUGGUCAUGAAAUUACCCACGUUUGAAAUAAAGCCACCAAUUGUAUCAGUAAUUAAAACUAUGUCAAAGUGCAGAUGUGCUGAGCGAGCAAGAUGAGCAAUUUUAGGCAAAGCCAUCACUGGAUGUGCCACAAUUAUAACAAACUCAUGCUCAGGGCUAGUACUGGGGGUAGGGUGAGGAGGCACCUUGCACAGAAGCAUCCCAACCCCAGGCUCAGCCUCUAUGUGCUACCACAGCCCAAAUAAAUGAGGAGAACCUCAUGUAAACCAGAAGCGUCAUGCUGAGGGUAGAGAAAAUAAAGAAGCAGAUGCUGUCUGAUCUAAGGAAGAAAAGAAUCUUCCCAGGAACAAGUCCCAGUUCCAUCCCACCUCCCUUCCAGUAUGGAUCCUCUUCUUUUGCCCCCUGUUUUGCUGCCAUUCUGUUCCUUGCUGCCAUUGAUUCUCAAUCCCUCCUCGCAGCAAAACAGACCUGGGAUGUAGGGCUGGCAGCCUGCACAAGCAGUCAGGCACCAUGGUUGGAAGAGGAAGGGCAGCACAGCACCUCCGGCCCUUGGCCAGCUUGGUAAAAAGCCAGGAUUCAGCUGCUCCCUGUGGGGGCAGGAUGUAAGGAGUGCUGGAAAGCAGCGGGAGGGAGGGGAACUUCCAUCUGUUUAGGUAGAAAAGCCACAGUGUGAAGGAAGGUCUGUCUUCACACUGCCCGUCAGGAGUGCCUUGGAUAGCAUGGCUCUCUUUCAUUAUUUAGAAAAACACUGUCAGAUACUGUGAGCCUGAAGUUUAAGCUAGGUUAAAAGGAAGGAAGGGAAAAAAAAAGAAAAGAAGGGAGAAGUUAGCUUCAAAGUGAACCUUGAGCCAUGUUCUUUGCUCACGGUGAAAAAUGUAGCUUGCUUCACGAUUACAGAGUUCAAAGGUUUUAUUUUAUUGCCACCACACUUUGCCUUUUUCACUCCAUUGAAAACACUAGUUGUUAUUUUUUCCAUCACAUCAUCUGCUGCUCAGGAGAAACUCUCCUGAUGGCCAGAUACUUUCUAGAGCACACCAGCGGGAGCACAGUGCAUGCCAGCAAGCUCCCUUUCCUGAGCCAGUUCUAAAGAACCCAACCUGGUGUCUCGACUGCACCUUGCAUAUGUGGCCUUACUGAGAGUCCCAUCACUGUUUCUUCCCACUUUCCCACUGAAACUCAGUAAAGCAUUGGAGUGGUGCAAGUCCUCACCAUUCCCACCUGCGUUCAACAAGGUCAUCCUCCAAGGCUGGAUCCUCAUGAGUUGUCUGUAUUUAAAUGUCAGGGACCUCUGAUGGUGUUACAUGCAAAAAUACGGAUAGCUUCUCCAUCCCAGUAGAGCAGGUGACCCAGAGGACUGAAAUUUGCUAUCAUCAGGUGGUUCCAGCAGGGCAAGGCUGUUACAAAGCAGGACAAGCAGGGCUGCAGCUGUGUAUGCUGAGGAGUGCAUUCUCUAGGAGCAGGCAUUGCACAAGAUCAGACUGAGCAAAAUUUUAUUUGUCUUAGCAAAAGGCACCACGGCAAUACUUACUUUAAAUCACGGGGAAAUAAAUGUCAGAGUUGCAAACUCUCUUCUGUUUUUUGUCAGAUGAUUGUCUCCCAUUAUGUGCUGCAUCUAAAGGUUACACUGCCUGGGAUCUGCAAUAUUUGUGAGUUAGGAACAGUGAGAUUCUAAAUUACUAGGCUUUUGAGAGCUAGAUGUGCUUCUGAUGAGUUUUUAUUUACUGUUUGUGAUCAAAAGAAAGAGGAAAGCAGUAUUUAUUGUGAUAUUUGUAUGAUUAAGGCUCUUUAUAACCAAAAUGGUUUAAUUUUAUGAAUACUUAAGGUGGUAUUUUCAACGCAACUAUGUAACAUAAGUAAAUGUGAGCUUGCAUUUAUAAAUGUGUUCUGUUAACUCAUUUUGGUAAUUGCCUCUUUCCUUUCAUUAAAGUCUCAGACAGAUGAGACAGUUAAAGGAGCUGUUGUAUGAGCAUUAAAUUAGGGCUGCCUAACUUGAAGUCCCUCAAAGCAGUUAGAUAUUUGGUGAAAAUGAUGAAUUCUGGGGUGCUGACUCAUGUGAUCUGAAAAUGCCAUCCAUUUCCUGAUUCACCUUCAUGCCUUCUCUAGGAAAAGAAGAAUGUUUUACAAUGAACACCUGCAGUCAAACAAUGUUCUGUGUGUUUGUUUUUCUAUCUUUCAGCCACUUCUCUGAACUGUUACCUUCAAAAUGAAGAGCAAGACAGAGGUGAGAACAAAGAAAGCCUUGGAAAAAUCCGGUCAUAACAUCUGAGGAAUAGAAAUAAAGGAAAUACUUAUACAGUCAGAGUUUGGAUGGAAUUUAUGAAAAGUUACAAAGGGCCCUAUUACAUUUGUAUCUAGAUUUGGGAAUUUUAAUUUUACACAUAAUAAAGAUACCAGUGCAUCUUUUCCUCUACUUUGGAUGAUAAUGCAUUCUGCUGUCCUUAGCCUUGCAAAACUUUCUUAUACCAACUAAUGUACGUUCAGCUUAAUUCUUUAGUUGUUAGACCUAAGACACCUUCUCACAUCAAGCUAGAGCAUGAAUAAUAAUAAACCAUUAAAAACCAUCCUCUCUGUUUGCUGGUCUAUAAAUAUAAAUAUUAGAUCCCUGAAUUUCUAUGUCCCCAGCAGAACAAGUGGGAUUUGAAUAAAAGGUAUAUGUAUAUGCGACCUUAUCACUGCCAAAUGCCAAAAGUACAUAAUAUAGAGCUUAUCUGGACUUCAGGCCUUCGGUGCUGUGUAGGUAGAGGUGAUUCUUGGCAUAACUCCUACCUUUGUAGAAUUAAAACAUCAUAAUUUUUAGAAGAGUUUUUAACCAAUUGUGUAGACAUCAUAAUUGGGCAGUAUUUCUGUGACACUGAUGUAGCACUAAGAGCCCUAAAUCAAAUUUUGUCCAUGAAAACAUACAAAACAGUCAGUGAGCACCAGGCAAUGGGGAGUACUAUGUGAAAAAGGACAGCAGCAAUGAAGUCUAAUCCCAGUGAUAUAUUCCUCUGUUGCCUACACACUCUGUUCUGUUGCCUGCUGAGAAAAACCAAUCUAGAUUGUGUUAUUUACAACUGAUCUUUUUAGGCUAGAACUGUUAAAACAGAAUGCCAAACAACUUGAAAGUUUCUGUAGAAAUACUGUUAGGCAGACAAAAGAGAAAAUAAAUUAAAGCUAAUGAUUAUUUAUCACUGAGAAACACACACACAAAAAAAAAGCCUUCUGAGUUUACUUUGCUGGUUUCAAGUACUAAAACGUCCACCUCAAAGUCUGUUCUUCUGUCUCAUUAGUCUUAAUUCAUGGCAGUGCAGAGCAAUAGAAGCGUAAGGAGGUGCUCAUUUCAUACUAGAUUUGAAAGGAAGCCCAACAAGCAGCUGUACAAAGUUGGUUUUUUUUUUGUUUGUUUGUUUGUUUGCUUUUUUGUUUUUUUGCAUCCUGGCACUUCUGGAUUUAGCAGCUGCUCUGCCUGUCUGCACUCGGGGUCAAACAUUUAAGAGUCAACUAAAUGUGAGGGAGGUUUCCCUACCAAGUGUCAUUCACAAGAGCAGAUGCUGCAGGCUGUGAAUUAGGGACAGGGAUAGUCUCACAUCAUCUACUGACUGCUAUUAAUAACCCUGUUUACAUCUGAUCCAUGCCCCAAAUCCUUCCCAUAUGGUACUCAAGUACCAAUUUCUUAUGUUUUCCAAAGGUCACCUAUCAUCAGCACCAAGAACAGACCACAGGUCCCCUGACACAGCACUACCACUGUGCAGAAUCUGUGUUGAGCUAAACUCUCUGCAGACAUGCCUUUAGCUUUUAUGCUGUGCUGUCGCAAAGCAGUGCUCAGAACAAAGGAAGCCCAUUUCCUAAGCAGUUGAAAACUUUGCUAGCAAAGUACAGUGCACUUGUUCAUUGCAGGCAGUCCAUUUAAAAAUGUACAGCUAUCUUCUAUGUUGUUCUUCCAUUUAAAUCUGCAUAAAUCAGCCUGCAUCGUAGCUUUGUCAGCUGGCUGAUAUUCAACAAUGAGAGGAAGUAGAAAGCGGCAGAAUUAAUAUCCACUGGCUGAAUGUAGUUCCAGUACCACCUAACACUAGAGUGUUUGACUAAUUGAUUGCCCUUAGCAUUCUGCUAACAACAGAUGUACGGUAUGAGUUAAAUUAGUAAAUUUGUAUUGCUCCUAUUGCUUUCCAUAGCCUGAAACAGUUGUAAUUAUUGAAAUUAUUUAAAUCAGAAACAUUGUAUUCAAAACGCUUUAAUUGAUUUUCUUUGUAUUUUUGUUAAUAAAAACUGCUCUAAUAAAAGUACCGCGGGGUAAUGAUUUGUAGAUUCGGCUGCACACUUGAAAACACGAAGGGGAUUGUGCUGAAGAGCAGAACACCUAUCAGAGCCAGCUCCAAGAACUCAGAAUCUGAUUCUCCACAAUCAGAGUUUCAGAAAAUAAGCCUCCUUCCAAAAGGAGUAUGUUCAGACAUACUGGCAAAGAGCAAAAGCUAUUGUUUCUUUGUAGCUACACCAGCUCCACUGAGAUUGCAAUUUUGUUUUGGUCUUUUUUUUCUACAUAAUGAAACUCGCAGUUCAUAAAAGAUCAGGUUAAGGUAAGGAAACUGAAAUUAGUGUUAACUGUGUUUCUAUCAUCAUGCUUUACAUAAUACCAGAAGAUAUCAAAAGGAGAUCAAAACUAUAAUGUCUACGCAUCCUGAAGUACCUCUUAUCUGUAAAGGACAUCCUCAUUCAGAGCAAACGUAAUGGAGAGAGGCAUGGAAAGGAACAGGUGCUGUUGACUCCCUGGAGGGUGUAGAGGCUUUUCAGAGUGACAGUGGAGUAUCAAGAAUCACCAACAGCCUGAAGUUCAACAAAGGAAAAUGAUGAGCUCUGCACCUGAGAUGGAGCAAUGUCAAACACAAGCACAGAUGGGAGACAAGUGACUGGAGUCAAGCUCAGCUUGAGCCAGCGGUGUGCCCUGGUAGCCAAGAGGGCAAACUGCAUUUUGGGAUGCAUUAAACGCAGCACAACCAGCCAGUCAAAACAGGUGAUCCUUCCUCUACACUUAGCAUUACUGCAGCCUUACUUCAAAUAUUGUGUACAGCUCCGGACUCCACAAUAUAAAAAGUGUAUCAAUAUAACUUCAAAGCAUCUAGAGAAGGGCAAGAAGACUUGUAAAAGAGUGGAAAGACAUGUCCUAUGAGGAGAGGCUGAGGGUACUUGGGCUGUCCAACCUGAAGAAGAAGUGGCCGAGAGGCAACCUCACAGCUCUUUGCAUCUCCCUGAGGAAGGGAAGCAGAGGGAUGUGCCCAACUCUUCUCCCUGGGAACCAACAGCAGGAUGUAUGUGAAUGGCACAAAGCUGCAUUAAGGGAGGUUCAGACUGAACAUUAGGAGAAAUUCCUUUAUCAUAUACUGGAGCAGGCUUCCUAGAGUAGUGAUU
ensembl:lncRNA